rnacentral:rRNA from 1 species
UACGGAGGGUGCGAGCGUUGUCCGGAAUCACUGGGCGUAAAGGGCGCGUAGGCGGCGCGGAUAGUCGGCGGUGAAAGCCCGGAGCUCAACUCCGGGUCGGCCGUCGAUACUUCCGGGCUUGAGCACUGUAGAGGCAGAUGGAAUUCCGGGUGUAGCGGUGGAAUGCGUAGAGAUCCGGAAGAACACCCGUGGCGAAGGCGGUUCUCUGGGACGGUACUGACGCUGAGACGCGAAAGCGUGGGGAGCGAACAGG